CCCUUAGAUGUCCGGGGCCGCACGCGCGCUACACUGAAGGAAUCAGCGUGGCUUUCUCCCUGACCCGAAAGGGUUGGGAAACCCGUUGAAUCUCCUUCGUGAUAGGGAUUGGGGCUUGAAAUUGUUCCCCAUGAACGAGGAAUUCCCAGUAAGCGCGAGUCAUAAGCUCGCGUUGAUUACGUCCCUGCCCUUUGUACACACCGCCCGUCGCUACUACCGAUUGAAUGGUUUAGUGAGAUCUUCGGAUUGGCGCCACUGCGGCUCAGCAAUGGGCUCGGUGGAUGCCGAAAAGUUGAUCAAACUUGAUCAUUUAGAGGAAGUAAAAGUCGUAACA
rnacentral:rRNA from 1 species